rnacentral:rRNA from 1 species
UACGGGGGGGGCAAGCGUUGUUCGGAAUUACUGGGCGUAAAGGGCGCGUAGGUGGCCAACUAAGUCAGACGUGAAAUCCCUCGGCUUAACCGGGGAACUGCGUCUGAUACUGGAUGGCUUGAGUUUGGGAGAGGGACGCGGAAUUCCAGGUGUAGCGGUGAAAUGCGUAGAUAAUCAGGAGGAACACCGGUGGCGAAGGCGGGUCUCUGGGCCGAUACUGACGCUGAGGAGCGAAAGCUCGGGGAGCGAACGGG